ensembl:lncRNA
ACUCUCCAGGACACGUGUGAGCUGCUCACCCUGUGUCAGGGGUGGAGAGAGUGUGAUGCCCCCAGAGCAGGGCCGAGAGUCCAGUCACUGUGUCCGUGUGCUCAGUGUCCUGGGAUGUGCCUGCGCAUCCUCUCUACACACCGCUUUGUCCUCUGCAGACAAAAUAUUCAUGACACACCUCUUCCCUUCCCAAACGCUGUUUCAUGCACCCACAUUCAAGGGAGCAAGACCUCCUGUUUGAAGCCGACCCCACUUGGGCAGCACCCCAGACCUCAGGUUCCCUGUGACGGACCGGCCGGCAGACUCCUCCAGCUACGGGGCGGUGCUGCGGCGCCCCCAGAAAGGCCGGCUGGCAGCACUACAUGAUGAGCCGUCCAAGGUUGAUCGAAGAAGAGAAGGAGAACACAGAGCAGUGGGCCGAGGAAACUUGAGAGCAUGGAGGGCAGGGGGAGCUUAGGCAACCUCCGUCGUUUUAAAUCAGUGAGCUCCCUCAACCUGUAUCCUUCCUCCUCACGUGCCAGCUCCUGCCCGCUGAGCAGUGGGCGCUCCAAGCCCCAAAGGCCCAGUGCAGGAGGGAGACCCGCUGGGCAUCAUGACGCUGGUAUGUGUCUGCCUCCUCCCUGCAGCAUCCUUACCCCAGGACACUGGUUUUCUUUUUUUUUGUUUGCCUUUUGGUUUUUCUCUUUUUACCCAGAAGAAAAUCAGGUACAUUUAGUAUGCUCAGAGGUCUAAAAUCUUUUAAACUGCCUAGUCUUUAAUCAUUCCACAAUGGCACAGCGACAAAUUAGUCUUGAUAUUUGGACCACCGGCUUAGCACGUCAUCAUGAACUCAGCCAGAGCGUGCCUCUGUAACGUUGGGCCUGGCCUGUGCUGAGCACAGCAGCUGCAGGGAAGUUUCUGUUCUCAGGGAGUAGACAGCUUUGUGAAAGUAACCAUAGGCAGCUCUUAUGGUGUGGGAAAGCCAUGCAGCACAUUUUCCAUUGGGGAUGCCUGGUUGCAGGGUGCAGGGCAUGCGGUGGGAACAAAACCAAGAAUCUAAACUGGUCUGCUUUCCGAGUAUUUGUAAAAUAACAGUUCUGUAUAUGUUUUCCUUGCUAUUGGAGUUCUCUGAUGGUGUGUCUGCUUUCAUCAUUGGUUUUGAUUUCCUGUCUCAUCCUGUUGUCUGCUUAGUCGUCAUCAAUCCACACCCCAGCCUCCCACACCCGAGGCUGUAGUUUACC